rnacentral:rRNA from 1 species
AGUGAACGCUGGCGGUAGGCCUAACACAUGCAAGUCGAACGGCAGCACAGUAAGAGCUUGCUCUUACGGGUGGCGAGUGGCGGACGGGUGAGGAAUACAUCGGAAUCUACUUUUUCGUGGGGAUAACGUAGGGAAACUUACGCUAAUACCGCAUACGACCUACGGGUGAAAGCAGGGGAUCUUCGGACCUUGCGCGAUUGAAUGAGCCGAUGUCGGAUUAGCUAGUUGGCGGGGUAAAGGCCCACCAAGGCGACGAUCCGUAGCUGGUCUGAGAGGAUGAUCAGCCACACUGGAACUGAGACACGGUCCAGACUCCUACGGGAGGCAGCAGUGGGGAAUAUUGGACAAUGGGCGCAAGCCUGAUCCAGCCAUACCGCGUGGGUGAAGAAGGCCUUCGGGUUGUAAAGCCCUUUUGCUGGGAAAGAAAAGCAGCAGGUUAAUACCCCGCUGUUCUGACGGUACCCAAAGAAUAAGCACCGGCUAACUUCGU